AACGAACGCUGGCGGCGCGCCUAAUACAUGCAAGUCGAGCGAGAAGACGUAGCAAUACGUUUGUAAAGCGGCGAACGGGUGAGGAACACAUGGGUAACCUACCCUAGAGUGGGGAAUAACUAGCCGAAAGGUUAGCUAAUACCGCGUACGCUCCUUGGACUUCGGUACAGGGAGGAAAGCGAUACCGUGGGUAUCGCGCUCUUGGAUGGGCUCAUGUCCUAUCAGCUUGUUGGUGAGGAACGGCUCACCAAGGCUUCGACGGGUAGCUGGUCUGAGAGGACGAUCAGCCACACUGGCACUGCGACACGGGCCAGACUCCUACGGGAGGCAGCAGUAAGGAAUAUUGCGCAAUGGGCGAAAGCCUGACGCAGCGACGCCGCGUGAGGGACGAAGGCCUCGGUCGUAAACCUCUUUCUAGCAGGGACGAAGACGCAAGUGACUGUACCUGCAGAAGAAGACACCGGCUAACU
rnacentral:rRNA from 1 species